ensembl:misc_RNA Metazoa_SRP Metazoan signal recognition particle RNA
GCCAGGUGUGGUGGCGGGCGCCUGUAAUCCCAGCUACUUGGGAGGCUGAGGCAGGAGAAUCGCUUGAACCCAGGAGGCGGAGGUUGCAGUGAGCCGAGAUCAUGCCACUGCACUCCAGCCUGGGUAAGAGAGCAAGACUUUGUCUCAA